GAUGAAGAACGUAGCGAAAUGCGAUACGUAAUGUGAAUUGCAGAAUUCAGUGAAUCAUCGAGUCUUUGAACGCACAUUGCGCCCCCUGGUAUUCCGGGGGGCAUGCCUGUCCGAGCGUCAUUGCUGCCCUCAAGCACGGCUUGUGUGUUGGGCCUCCGUCCUCCUCCCGGGGGACAGGCCCGAAAGGCAGCGGCGGCACCGCGUCCGGUCCUCGAGCGUAUGGGGCUUCGUCACCCGCUUUUGUAGGCCCGGCCGGCGCUUGCCGACACAUCAAUCUUUUUUCCAGGUUGACCUCGGAUCAGGUAGGGAUACCCGCUGAACUUAAGCAUAUCAAUAAGCGGAGGA
rnacentral:misc_RNA from 1 species